rnacentral:miRNA from 1 species
AAUAAUUUUAUAUAUGUGUGUGUGUGUGUGUGUAUAUAUACACACACACACACACACACACAUAUAUAUAUAUAAUAA